rnacentral:rRNA from 1 species
GACGGAGGAUGCAAGCGUUAUCCGGAAUUAUUGGGCGUAAAGCGUCCGCAGGGGGCGAUUUAAGUCUGCUGUCAAAGACCACAGCUUAACUGUGGGCAGGCAGUGGAAAUUGGAUUGCUAGAGUGCGGCAGGGGUAGAGGGAAUUCCCAGUGUAGCGGUGAAAUGCGUAGAUAUUGGGAAGAACACCAGUGGCGAAGGCGCUCUACUGGGCCGCAACUGACACUCAUGGACGAAAGCUAGGGGAGCGAAUGGG